rnacentral:rRNA from 1 species
UACGAAGGUCCCGAGCGUUAUCCGGAUUUAUUGGGGUUAAAGGGUGCGUAGGCGGGUUAUUAAGUCAGUGGUGAAAGCCUACAGCUUAACUGUAGAAUUGCCAUUGAUACUGAUGAUCUUGAGUAUGAUUGAGGUGGGCGGAAUGUGUCAUGUAGCGGUGAAAUGCUUAGAUAUGACACAGAACACCGAUUGCGAAGGCAGCUCACUAAGUCAUAACUGACGCUGAUGCACGAAAGCGUGGGGAGCAAACAGG